UGCCUUUCCGGCUCAUUUUUAUAUUCUUCGCCAAGUAGGUAGCAGCGAGCGCUACAUACCUAAUUGGCACCCAGGAGAAGGGCGUGGCCCUAGCUUUUACACCAUCUGUUUUGGCCCAGAGGAUAUAAUGCCCCCAGAAAGUAAAUCAAGUAAAUGGUAAAUAGCAGCUCCUCAAGACCCAUGGGUUUGACGAACAUUUAGACAACUCCGGAGGCAACAACCGAUCCACCAGUACAUCAGACCAGUACAUCAAAACCUGACGCCUCCCGAAGAAGAUCAUGAGGUGUGGAUAACCUAGGACAGCACCGGAAGAAGCCUUCACACCACAAGUUAAGUCUUCCUUAGAAUCUUAUAUUUGCCUGUCAGCAGAGACAGUUUUUUUAUAUAAAUUAACUUCAUAAUAACUUCACAAUGAUGUAGAUCCUAAAUUAUAACCAAAGAAAUGAGAAAAUAAAGCAUUUAUACCGAAA